UCUUUUGAAACUUUCAGCUCUUAACCCGCAGUUGGCACACGCCUACAAACCCCUUUUCUCUGUCGUUCGGUUAAUUGGGGAAUCGAGUAUGUUGGCAGCUGGUUGUUAACGGGCGUUUUCGUUUUGCGAAGCUCUGCACCAGCUGACAGAGGAAAAAACUUUAAUCAAGUCGGCAGAACUAAAAACAAAACCCACAACAGCGCGCGUUGCUUUACGGCUGUGGCCUGCUCGGGGUUGGCGGCAAUUUCGUUGACCUGAAUCCGACGGAGACUCGAGUUGGUUGUAGCGUGUGAAGACGAAACGGGAGACACUCCUCUGAGCUGGUGUUUCUUCCAGGGUGAAGGAGGAACCUGGAAGAAGGUGAGCGGGCAGGAGCCCCAGAUCCUGUAAUGGCGCCUCGCUGGUAAACACGACAGCACGGCGUUGUUCUUUGGGUCCGGAUUCGUUUUCACUGGACUGGCUAGAAAUAAAAAAGAAGAGCUCCUGAUAACCUGAAGGCAAAGAAUAAAGCAGCUGUCACUGAGAGUUGCGACGUUGACCCGAGGGCUGUCUGUGAUAUCAUUUCAUAACCCUGCUGCACCUUUCACCCACAGAUGGGUUACACUCUUGAAAGCUCCUGAAAUGGAAGAUGGCUUGCAGAGCGUUGGAGAACAGUGAGACUUCCCUCCCUCCAGCUGACCAGCGCUGAAGAUGCCACGCUGGGGAAUGAGGCAGUACAAACCUGGCACCAAGACCUCCAGCCUCCAGCAGCCUUCACACAAGGUAGCAGGAAGAAACCUGUCCCAGAGAUAGAAAUAUCUUGUCCCAGAGAUAGUCCCAGGGUCUUGACAGUGUGGAACACGUCCACGAUGUUCUGCUGCUGGAUCAUCUCGCUGAUACUGCAGAUGGCACAGAAAGUC